rnacentral:rRNA from 1 species
UGGAUUGCACGUCUAAGCAGUAAGGCUGAGUAUUAGGCAAAUCCGGUACUCGUUAAGGCUGAGCUGUGAUGGGGAGAAGACAUUGUGUCUUCGAGUCGUUGAUUUCACACUGCCGAGAAAAGCCUCUAGAUAGAAAAUAGGUGCCCGUACCGCAAACCGACACAGGUAGUCAAGAUGAGAAUUCUAAGGUGAGCGAGCGAACUCUCGUUAAGGAACUCGGCAAAAUGACCCCGUAACUUCGGGAGAAGGGGUGCUCUUUAGGGUUAACGCCCAGAAGAGCCGCAGUGAAUAGGCCCAAGCGACUGUUUAUCAAAAACACAGGUCUCUGCUAAACCGUAAGGUGAUGUAUAGGGGCUGACGCCUGCCCGGUGCUGGAAGGUUAAGAGGAGUGGUUAGCUUCUGCGAAGCUACGAAUCGAAGCCCCAGUAAACGGCGGCCGUAACUAUAACGGUCCUAAGGUAGCGAAAUUCCUUGUCGGGUAAGUUCCGACCCGCACGAAAGGCGUAACGAUUUGGGCACUGUCUCAACGAGAGACUCGGUGAAAUCAUAGUACCUGUGAAGAUGCAGGUUACCCGCGACAGGACGGAAAGACCCCGUGGAGCUUUACUGUAGCCUGAUAUUGAAAUUCGGCACAGCUUGUACAGGAUAGGUAGGAGCCUUUGAAACGUGAGCGCUAGCUUACGUGGAGGCGCUGGUGGGAUACUACCCUAGCUGUGUUGGCUUUCUAACCCGCACCACUUAUCGUGGUGGGAGACAGUGUCAGGCGGGCAGUUUGACUGGGGCGGUCGCCUCCUAAAAGGUAACGGAGGCGCUCAAAGGUUCCCUCAGAAUGGUUGGAAAUCAUUCAUAGAGUGUAAAGGCAUAAGGGAGCUUGACUGCGAGACCUACAAGUCGAGCAGGGUCGAAAGACGGACUUAGUGAUCCGGUGGUUCCGCAUGGAAGGGCCAUCGCUCAACGGAUAAAAGCUACCCCGGGGAUAACAGGCUUAUCUCCCCCAAGAGUUCACAUCGACGGGGAGGUUUGG